GAAAAAUGUACCCCAAAAUGCGUUGCCUUUUAAGAAGGACAGACGCGGGUCGGAAGCUCCAAAAUUUGCACUAAGUUCAGCUCCGCCGGGAAAAUGACAGAGACCACACGAUGCUGUCAGGAAAAACAAACUGAUCCCUUUAUUGCAGAAUGCAAAGCUACAGCUGUAGGGUCCCUGCCUCUGGAAAGAAGGAAGGAACCCCGGGAAAUGGUGGGCAAUCCUUCGAGAUGGGCGCAGGAGUGGAGCGAUUUCCUGACGAUUUCCAUGAGGUAAUUUUGGCAGGUGUUUUCCUUGAGGCCGCGGAAAGAUGGACUAUGGCAUGUUUAAUUUGAAUAAAGUUGUCAAGCUAA